rnacentral:sRNA from 1 species
GACUUCCGUCUGCUACCUCUUACCCGUCUUUUGAGUACCUUCGUUUCCUCGGCGGGUCCGCCCGCCGAUUGGACAACAUUCAAACCCUUUGCAGUUGCAAUCAGCGUCUGAAAAAACAUAAUAAUUACAACUUUCAACAACGGAUCUCUUGGUUCUGGCAUCGAUGAAGAACGCAGCGAAAUGCGAUAAGUAGUGUGAAUUGCAGAAUUCAGUGAAUCAUCAAAUCUUUGAACGCACAUUGCGCCCCUUGGUAUUCCAUGGGGCAUGCCUGUUCGAGCGUCAUUUGUACCUUCAAGCUCUGCUUGGUGUUGGGUGUUUGGUUUCCCCCCGGGGGGAAAAUCCCCUUAAAAACAUUGGCAACCGGCUUAUGGAUUUCGAACGGCACAACUCCUGGCCUUUGGACCCAUUAGGAACAACUCCCAAAAGAACUUUUUCACAUCCUUAACCCGAAAAAGGGUGGGAAUCCCCGCUAACUUUAGGCUAUCAAUUACCGGAAGAAACCCGCCAGCGCUCCGGGGGCGCGAAGGACUCACACUACAAAACCGAACCCUCGCUUUGUGAAGACUUGAGUUACAACUCACCUGGUCAGCGGGGCUUGCUUGAAUUUAAGGUAUCAGAUCGAGAACCCUCUCUAACC